AUCCAGCUUACGAGUCUCAAAUAGGACAAAACGCGCGUCAAACUGGAU
rfam:Schistosoma rodhaini strain Burundi genome assembly, scaffold: SROB_scaffold0000285